rnacentral:lncRNA from 1 species
UGACGAGGCAAACAACGAAAAUACGCGGGCGUACGAGGCUCAAGUUCUGCUGCUGGCCGAAUCCCGGGAGGAGCUGGAGCACAAGAAAUCGAACAAGAGGGUGCCCAUGCCAAAGAUUCGCAUGGAAGAGCACUCGGAUGAUGAUAAGCGCGCUAAAAAGCAAGACAAGCAGGUAUGCAAAGCAUUCUGUUAUGAACUUAGCAUGCAGUUUCCUAUUAUCUGGUGUCAUGAAGUUUUACCAACUCAGAUUUUAUUUUUACUGCUUUGUAUCUAAGGUAUCACAAAAGCGCAAAUUCAUGCAAGUGAAUGCAAGGAGUGCGAGCUAUAGUAGAAUUCUGGAAAAGCAUGUUCAAGAUGCAAAAAAAAAA